AUCCAACUGACCAGUGCCAAAUAGGACGAAACACACGUCCUGGAU
rnacentral:hammerhead_ribozyme from 1 species